rnacentral:lncRNA from 1 species
AUGCCAAGGUUUCUUACCACAAAUAGAACUUCUGGAAAGGCCUACUGGUUUCCUCCGGGCUUUCAGACACCUCUUCACAUUUCGCUUGGCUUCCCUUCUGCAGCCCCAAAAGGGAAUAUCUGGAGUCUGUGUUCCGCUGUGAUCGCAGCCCCCCCCACCCCCAGGCUCUGCAGGGCAUCCUCCAGCGCAGUGGGAACCAGGCGCCGCGGCAGCUCCCUCUGGAUGCUGGCGGGCCCGGCCAGACGCCGAGCCCCGAAGCCCCGGGGGUACCCCGAGCACCGGCAUGAACUGAGGCGGGACCAGAUGAUGGGGAGGAGAGCGUGGCCCGAAAAGGAGAAACACGAACUGGCCUUCAGGUCGGGAGAGAAUGGUGCAGCCUCAGCAGUAACCCAGGGUCGCGGCAUUUCCCUCUCACCAGUGACAUGGGGCUGCAAAACGGUCUAAAUGGGAACCUCACAGACAGGAACGCUGCCUGUCUGUGCUGUUGCCCUUUUCAGCAAUAAC